GUCGAACGCUGCCGCUAACUUAUAGUGCGACGGAUUAAUUAAAACUUAAUCUUUAGAACGUGCUAUGGGUUAGCGGCAGAGUGGCAAACGGGUGAGUAACACGUUGAUAACCUGCCUCAAAGUCGGGAACAGCUCGCUGAAAAGCGGGGUAAUACUCGAUAGUCCUACAUCACUUCGGUGUUUGUAGGUAAAGCUCCGGCGCUUUGAGAGGGGUCUGCGUCCUAUCAGCUAGUUGGUGAGGUAAAAGCUCACCAAGGCUAAGACGGGUAGCUGGUGUGAGAGCAUGACCAGCCACAAUGGAACUGAGAACGGUCCAUACUCCUACGGGAGGCAGCAAUUAGGAAUCUUGCGCAAUGGGGGCAACCCUGACGCAGCGACACCGCGUGGAGGACGAAGGUCUUCGGAUUGUAAACUCCUUUUAUAUGGGAAGAAUAACUGACGGUACCAUAUGAAUAAGUACCCGCUAACUACGUGCCAGAAGCAUCGGUGAUACGUAGGGUACGAACGUUAUCCGGAUUUAUUGGGCGUAAAGAGAUGCGUAGGCGUCCUAGGCAGUCUUGUGUUAAAUCCCGUGGCUCAACCACGGAACAGCACUUGAUACUUCUAGGAUUGAGGCAGAGAGGGGUGAAUGGAAUUCCCGGUGGAGUGGUGAAAUACGUUGAUAUCGGGAGGAACACCAGAGGCGAAGGCGAUUCACUGGCCCUGUUCUGACGCUAAGGCUCGAAAGCGUGGGUAGCAAAACGGAUUAGAUACCCGUGUAGUCCACGCUGUAAACGAUGGAUGUUGGCUGUUUGGCACAACUUCUUUUUUCCUUCGGGAUUAAAGCGGAAGUGUCGAGUAGCGUAGCUAACGCGAUAAACAUCCCGCCUGGGAAGUACGGCCGCAAGGCUAAAACCUAAAUGAAUUGGCGGGCACCCGCACAAGCGGAGGAGCGCGUGGUUUAAUUCGAUGGUAAUCGAAGAACCUUACCAGGGUUUGAAAUGUACGUAGUAGGGAUCCGAAAGGUGACCGAUCUUCGGAAGCGUACACAGGUACUGCAUGGCCGUCGUCAGCUCGUGUCGUGAGAUGUAGGGUUAAGUCCCGAAACGAGCGCAACCCCUAUCCCGUGUUAUACGUGUCUCGGGAAACUGCAGCGGUAAAACGUUGAGGAAGGAGGGGAUGACGCCUGGUCCGCAUGGUCCUUAUGUCCUGGGCUACACACGCGCUACAAUGGCUGGUACAACAGGGAGCUAAGUCGCAAGACGGAGCCAAUCCUCAAAACCAGUCUCAGUUCGGAUUGAGGUCUGCAACUCGACCUCAUGAAGUUGGAUUCGCUAGUAAUCGCAGAUCAGCCAUGCUGCGGUGAAUACGUUCUCGGGUGUUGCACACACCGCCCGUCAUGUCAUGGAAGCAGGUAAUACUCGAACUCAUUCUGAAUUUAUUCGGAGUGACUAGGGUAAUGCUUGUGACUGGGAUAAAGUCGUAACAAGGUA
rnacentral:rRNA from 1 species